CGUCCAAACCCGACGGGGUGGAGGAGAAAAAGGGGGAAGACGCGACGCAUCCAUUUGCAACCUGGAAACUCCUUCCCUUCUUCCCUUCCCCCCAGCAAGAGACUGGCUGCUCAGGGUAAAGGCGGCCUUAGGGAGAACCGCGGAAGGCGGAGACUGGGGCUGCUGGCUUCCAAUGAGCUCAGGCGUCUUGCUUUGCCUUGCCUGCCCGGCGCUACUGGAGGAGUCUCGGUCGAGAGACUCUCCGAGAGACCCCCAAGCGUCUUCUUAAGAGGCGCUGGACGGCCAAGCCAAGGCGGUCAUUCUUUCUCACAAAGUGGUUGGGAGAAAUUGGAGAAAGGAGCAUCAAGCCUUGUUCCUGGAGAAAAGAUAAGGUAGUUAACAGACCGAGUGAAGCUGAAAAUGCAUUCCUGGCUAAAGAUACUUUCUACACCUCCAUGAUAAGAACCAUGUGUAACCAUUCAGAGCCAGUUGAUUCCACCCCAGCAUAAGUGAGUAGGGCAGAACCUUUAUUUUCUUCCGAUAAACUCUCAUAUUUAUUGCCUUGCUAUAUUACAUUGCUGUUAGAGUAAGGAAGCAGACCAACGUAGCUUGUCAAUUGGCAGUAGGGAAGAGUGGAC